GGUCUUGGCCACGGGCUCCGUCUCCCGGCCGGCCUCGGGUGCCGCGCUCUGCGGGCUUUCUCUUCGGCCGCUGAGGCGUCUGGCCAAGGCCGGGUGGCCAGGGAGGGUGCGGGCUGCCCCGGCAGCAGCUCCACACACCGGGAGGCGUGUGGGAGUCACGGGGCUGCAGGGUCAGCGUGGCGACUCGCGUGACUCCGCCUCGCUGUGGCUUCGCCCUCCUCCCCGGCCGCUCAGCGUUCCUUGCUCUCGUGUCGCGCCUCCCCCGCCCGCGAAACUGUCACGCCUAAUUCCUGACGGCAGGCAAGUACUGGAGUGAGGCCAUCGACCCCCACUGCCCAGGGCACUGGGACGCACUUGAAGCAGCAAAUUCGUCUGUUUGCCCGGCUUUGAGCCACUCGGUAUCACGGAUGUCUUCUGGCAGGAACAAAGGUACUCCAUCGUUAACACUGAAGCAAAUUCCUUGUAAUUCUUAAUCUACCUUCACUUCACCAUGAAAGAAGCACACCACAUGUUCUGGACACAACCACCAAGAACUAACUGGAGGUUGCUUUUCUUUUGUAUUUUGCUUAACAUUGAGGACUGCGUUGUGGAUCCCACAUGUAGGUAUUUGACUAAGAAAUAAAGGGAUGCUAUUAUCAAGGCAUUUUAAAUACUAGUAACUUUUGUCACAUAUCCCCCUAAACAAUAAGUGUGUGUGUAGAAUCUAAACCUAAGUAAAAAGCCAUUUUAUUUCUCUA